rnacentral:rRNA from 1 species
UAGGGAAUCUUCCGCAAUGGACGCAAGUCUGACGGAGCAACGCCGCGUGAGUGAAGAAGGAUUUCGGUUCGUAAAACUCUGUUGUUAGAGAAGAACAGCGCAUAGAGUAACUGUUAUGCGUGUGACGGUAUCUAACCAGAAAGCCACGGCUAACUACGUGCCAGCAGCCGCGGUAAUACGUAGUUGGCAAGCGUUGUCCGGAUUUAUUGGGCGUAAAGCGAGCGCAGGCGGUCAAUUAAGUCUGAUGUGAAAGCCCCCGGCUCAACCGGGGAGGGAAGUUGGAAACUGGGUGACUUGAGUGCAGAAAAGGGGAGUGGAAUUCCAUGUGUAACGGUGAAAUGCGUAGAUAUAUGGGGGAACACCCGUGGCGAAAGCGGCUCUCCGGUCUGUAACUGACGCUGAGGCUCGAAAGCGUGGGGAGCGAACAGG